GAAAUGCGAUAAGUAAUGUGAAUUGCAGAAUUCAGUGAAUCAUCGAAUCUUUGAACGCACCUUGCGCUCCUUGGUAUUCCUUGGAGCAUGCCUGUUUGAGUAUCAUGAAAUCUUCAAAGUAAAUCUUUUGUUAACUCAAUUGGUUUCUACUUUGGUAUUGGAGGUCUUUGCAGCUUCACACCUGCUCCUCUUUGUUCAUUAGCUGGAUCUCAGUGUUAUGCUUGGUUCCACUCGGCGUGAUAAGUUAUCUAUCUCUGAGCACACUGUAAAAGGUGGCCAAGGUAAAUGCAGAUGAACCGCUUCUAAUAGUCCAUUGACUUGGACAAUACUUUUAUGAUCUGAUCUCAAAUCAGGUAGGACUACCCGCUGAACUUAAGC
rnacentral:misc_RNA from 1 species